rnacentral:rRNA from 1 species
CAUACGACCGUACCGCAAACCGACACUGGUGCGCGAGAUGAGUAUUCUAAGGCGCUUGAGAGAACUCAGGAGAAGGAACUCGGCAAAUUGACACCGUAACUUCGGAAGAAGGUGUGCCCUAUUAGUGUGUAGUGAACAACGAAGCAUGAAUGGGUUGCAAAAAAUCGGUGGCUGCGACUGUUUAUUAAAAACACAGCACUCUGCAAACACGAAAGUGGACGUAUAGGGUGUGACGCCUGCCCGGUGCUGGAAGAUUAAAUGAUGGGGUGCAAGCUCUUGAUUGAAGUCCCAGUAAACGGCGGCCGUAACAAUAACGGUCCUAAGGUAGCGAAAUUCCUUGUCGGGUAAGUUCCGACCUGCACGAAUGGCGUAACGAUGGCCACACUGUCUCCUCCUGAGACUCAGCGAAGUUGAAAUGUUUGUGAUGAUGCAAUCUCCCCGCGGAAAGACGGAAAGACCCCAUGAACCUUUACUGUAGCUUUGUAUUGGACUUUGAACAGAUCUGUGUAGGAUAGGUGGGAGGCUUUGAAGCAGGGUCGCUAGAUCUUGUGGAGCCAACGUUGAAAUACCACCCUGGUGUGUUUGAGGUUCUAACCUAGGUCCAUUAUCUGGAUCGGGGACAGUGCAUGGUAGGCAGUUUGACUGGGGCGGUCUCCUCCCAAAGCGUAACGGAGGAGUUCGAAGGUACGCUAGUUACGGUCGGACAUCGUGACGAUAGUGCAAUGGCAUAAGCGUGCUUAACUGCGAGACUGACAAGUCGAGCAGAUGCGAAAGCAGGACAUAGUGAUCCAGUGGUUCUGUAUGGAAGGGCCAUCGCUCAACGGAUAAAAGGUACUCUGGGGAUAACAGGCUGAUACCGCCCAAGAGUUCAUAUCGACGGCGGUGUUUGGCACCUCGAUGUCGGCUCAUCUCAUCCUGGGGCUGUAGCCGGUCCCAAGGGUAUGGCUGUUCGCCAUUUAAAGAGGUACGUGAGCUGGGUUUAAAACGUCGUGAGACAGUUUGGUCCCUAUCUUCCGUGGGCGCUGCAGAUUUGAGGAAGCCUGCUCCUAGUACGAGAGGACCGGAGUGGACACACCUCUGGUGUAUCGGUUGUCACGCCAGUGGCAUUGCCGAGUAGCUAAGUGUGGAAGAGAUAACCGCUGAAAGCAUCUAAGCGGGAAACUCGUUUCAAGAUGAGAUCUGCCGGGGCCUUGAGCCCCCUAAAGAGUCGUUCAAGACCAGGACGUUGAUAGGUCAGGUGUGGAAGC